rnacentral:rRNA from 1 species
CCUACGGGUGGCAGCAGUGGGGAAUAUUGGACAAUGGGGGCAACCCUGAUCCAGCCAUGCCGCGUGUGUGAAGAAGGCCCUCGGGUUGUAAAGCACUUUCAGUGAGGAAGAACGCCUGGUGGUUAAUACCCAGCAGGAAAGACAUCACUCACAGAAGAAGCACCGGCUAACUCCGUGCCAGCAGCCGCGGUAAUACGGAGGGUGCGAGCGUUAAUCGGAAUUACUGGGCGUAAAGCGCGCGUAGGUGGCUUGAUAAGCCGGUUGUGAAAGCCCCGGGCUCAACCUGGGAACGGCAUCCGGAACUGUCAAGCUAGAGUGCAGGAGAGGAAGGUAGAAUUCCCGGUGUAGCGGUGAAAUGCGUAGAGAUCGGGAGGAAUACCAGUGGCGAAGGCGGCCUUCUGGACUGACACUGACACUGAGGUGCGAAAGCGUGGGUAGCAAACAGGAUUAGAUACCCUGGUAGUC